rnacentral:tRNA from 1 species
GCCGGAGUGACGGAAUUGGUAGACGUAGGGGACUUAAAAUCCCCCGAUAGAAAUAUCGUACCGGUUCGAGUCCGGUCUCCGGUACCA